CACCCUAGGUUCCAUAUGAGGUUUAUGUGUAUGUGACACUUACAACAACAAAGGGAAAUUAAAAAUCCUUUCCCCUAUAAUGUGAGUUUGGAGAAAAGGGGCUCACAGUGAGUCUACCGGAUCACGGCGGCAUUAGUCCUAUUUCCGGCAGCUUUAAAGAUUUUUGAUAUCAAAUGCGUUGGAAUUUCACAUAUCAAGGAUUCAAUCAACAACCCUAAAAGGGGAGAUUUGGACCUUAAAAGAUAUCAAGGAUUCUAUUAACAACUCUAAGAGGGUAAGGUUUUGAGAUUCGGACCUUAAAGGGGUUGACAUCAUACAAUGGAGACUUUCUUUGAGCUGAGGUGCAGACCCAAAUAUCAGAAAGGAUUGGAUAUCUGGCACACAAGCAAAUUAAUCUAGGGCCCCAUCAUAGCUAAACAACAAUUGAGGUGGGUUCUGCUCUAAUACCAUGCAAAGAAAUGGAUCUUGGGUCUAACUUAACUACAAAAGUUAGUUUUUGAGCGGAGGAUUGCCCAAGUCUGUAUAAGGAGACCACCCAUCCUUUUUUCAUUCGAUGUGGGACUGUUCAGCACCCAUAUCACGCCAAGGACUGGACAUCUGGUUAUUGAUAGUAUCUAUAAUUAGUUUCAUUCAAUAUAUUUAUCGCGCGGGUACUAACAGUAGUUUUACAAGUUGGAAUUGUUGAAUCUUCAUUUAAGCUCAUUUAUAUCCGCAUCAUAUGAAAUAAAAUAAAAUAAAAGUAAAAAAAUAAGUUGGAUAAAGCAAUUUUGAAGUGUUUGGAUAAGACUUUCAAAAAAUGCUCCGGGCACUUUUCCCAAUGUUCUUCUCUCUCCUACUUCUUAGGAGGGUAGAUCACCUUUUUUCUGGUAACUACCUCAGCCGAAAACUUUCUUUGUCAUCUUCAGGCCAAGCUAUCACCUUCUGUGUUAGUUUAAACCUUAUUUCUUUCACUCUUCUCAGGUUUUAGAACCACAGACUAACAUUGGUGAAGAAAGGAUUUUCGUCCAUGCUGGAUUUAAAUCUUUUGACAUAUCUAAGUCCAGUUCCAGGUCAGAAACAUAGUUUGAAUGGAUUGAGCGCAGCAGGAAUUUAAUGAGGAAAAUAACUCUAAGUCUUAAAGUCAUGACUCAUGAGAUGGCUAGUCCAAGUUUUUAUGGAAGCCUCAAAGGAGCAAAGAAUGACAGUUAGGAGAUGGAAAACAAAGGACCUCUUUACUGAAUUCUUUUGCAUUAUUAAAUACAAUGAGCAUGGUAGGUAUAUCAGUUUCAUUGCAUUACCGGGGGGUGGGGGGUGGGGGGGGACAAAUCAAUUAUUAUUACACCUGAGACUACAUUGAAGGCUGGAUGGUUGGCAAUAGCUCAGAAAAUUACAAAGUUCAUCUGGGUCCCAGAAAGGGGUGAGGAAGCAGCAGUUAUUAGAAAACAUCAGGUCAAAUCUUCUUUUCUUGAAGCCAUCAGAAGCAAUAAAUGGUCGACAGAACCAAUAAAAGGUUUGACACCGCAGAUCACCAACUGCAAAAUCAACUUCCCUGGAAACUCUACAGUCUCAGAAGAGGAUGUGCUUGGAAGAUGUAUUGUGGGGAAAUUUCUAGACCUUAGCCAAGAAACGCAACUCUGAAUGAAGUACGGAGAUGGG